rnacentral:misc_RNA from 1 species
GAUGAAGAACGUAGCGAAAUGCGAUAAGUAAUGCGAAUUGCAGAAUCCGUGAAUCAUCGAAUCUUUGAACGCACAUUGCGCCCGCCAGUAUUCUGGCGGGCAUGCCUGUCUGAGCGUCAUUUCAACCCUCAUGCCCCUAGGGCGUGGUGUUGGGGAUCGGCCAAAGCCCGCGAGGGACGGCCGGCCCCUAAAUCUAGUGGCGGACCCGUCGUGGCCUCCUCUGCGAAGUAGUGAUAUUCCGCAUCGGAGAGCGAUGAGCCCCUGCCGUUAAACCCCCAACUUUCCAAGGUUGACCUCAGAUCAGGUAGGAAUACCCGCUGAACUUAAGCAUAUCAAUAAGCGGAGGA